GUAAACCCAAGGUUUCCAGGGGAAGGUUCGUCCGCCCUGGGUUAGUCGGGACCUAAGCUGAGGCCGAAAGGCGUAGGGGAUGGACAACAGGUUGAUAUUCCUGUACUACCGAUAACCGUUUGAGAGAUGGGAUGACACAGUAGGAUAAGCUAAGCACACUGUUGGUUAUGUGUGCCCAAGCAUUGAGGCAGUCAAAGUAGGCAAA
rnacentral:rRNA from 1 species